ensembl:snoRNA
AAGUACACUUGAUAGGUCGUGUAAAAGCUGUGAAACCAGGAUCUCUUGACAGUGUGACUGAAUAUUGACAUUCUCCAGAGGAUGCCACAGUCACUCAAAAAUGCCAUGCUUCCCUUAGGGAAUGUGAGA